rnacentral:tRNA from 1 species
GGGGAUUUAGCUCAGUGGUAGAGCGCUUGCCUAGCAAGCGCCAGGCCCUGGGUUCGGUCCCCAGUUCCA